UACGAGGGGGGCAAAUGUUGUUCGGAAUCACUGGGCGUAAAGGGAGCGUAGGCGGGUUCUUAAGUAAGGUGUUUAAUCCCGGGGCCCAACCCCGGACCGGCACUUUAAACUGGGAAUCUUGAAUAGUGGAGAGGUCGGUGGAAUUCCUGGUGUAGCGGUGAAAUGCGCAGAUAUCAGGGGGAACACCUAUUGCGAAGGCAGCUCGCUGGGACGUUACUGACGCUGAGACGCGAAAGCGUGGGGAGCAAACAGG
rnacentral:rRNA from 1 species